rnacentral:rRNA from 1 species
UACGUAGGGUGCGAGCGUUGUCCGGAAUUAUUGGGCGUAAAGAGCUCGUAGGCGGUUUGUCGCGUCUGCCGUGAAAGUCCGGGGCUCAACUCCGGAUCUGCGGUGGGUACGGGCAGACUAGAGUGAUGUAGGGGAGACUGGAAUUCCUGGUGUAGCGGUGAAAUGCGCAGAUAUCAGGAGGAACACCAGUGGCGAAGGCGCCGCUCUGGGCCGUGACUGACGCUGAGGAGCGAAAGCGUGGGUAGCAAACAGG